UAAAUCAAAUUAUUUUAUUUGAAAAAUUCAAUUUUCUUCAAUAACUUCUUAAAAGAAAACUUGCACAUGAAUGGCGUGCGCAUAUUCUGCUUUGGAUUAAACGAUAUACAUAUGGAUUUCUGAGCAUCAUUGGUUUGGAAUCAAGACUAAGCUUUGAAAUUAAAGAUAAGCGUUUUUAAUUAUCUUAAUCCCAAUUCCACAAUUAUUAUUUUUUUAUAUGAAUGUGCAACAUAGGUCUGGUGGAAGUUCUGCAAUACCGUAAAGUGUACGAAGAAAACAUUUCAAUAUUUAUCCGCAAGAUUCCGUCUACGCAUGUAAUGCAAAUGAGGGAUCGGGCAAUAUCUUUAAGUAUAUAUCAAUAUAAUAUUUUCACAACAAUUUGAA